rnacentral:rRNA from 1 species
GAUGAACGCUGGCGGCGUGCCUAACACAUGCAAGUCGAGCGAGGGUUUGCUCAGUAUUGAGUAUUCUAAGUCUAGAAUGUUCAAUUCUGAGCAAAACCAAGCGGCGGACGGGUGAGUAACGCGUGGGUAACCUGCCCUAUACACAUGGAUAACAUACUGAAAAGUUUACUAAUACAUGAUAAUAUAUAUUUGCGGCAUCGCAGAUAUAUCAAAGUGUUAGCGGUAUAGGAUGGACCCGCGUCUGAUUAGCUAGUUGGUGAGAUAACUGCCCACCAAGGCGACGAUCAGUAGCCGACCUGAGAGGGUGAUCGGCCACAUUGGAACUGAGACACGGUCCAAACUCCUACGGGAGGCAGCAGUGGGGAAUAUUGCACAAUGGGCGAAAGCCUGAUGCAGCAACGCCGCGUGAACGAUGAAGGUCUUCGGAUCGUAAAGUUCUGUUGCAGGGGAAGAUAAUGACGGUACCCUGUGAGGAAGCCCCGGCUAACUACGUGCCAGCAGCCGCGGUAAUACGUAGGGGGCUAGCGUUAUCCGGAUUUACUGGGCGUAAAGGGUGCGUAGGUGGUCCUUCAAGUCGGUGGUUAAAGGCUACGGCUCAACCGUAGUAAGCCGCCGAAACUGGAGGACUUGAGUGCACGAGAGGAAAGUGGAAUUCCCAGUGUAGCGGUGAAUGCGUACAUAUAUGGAGGAACACCGGUGGCGAAAGCGGCUCUCUGGCUUGGAACUGACGCUGAGCUCGAAAGCUGGGGAGCAACAGGACUACAUGCCCCUGGUAGCCACGGCGUUUUUUAUUGGAUU